UGGAUACCUUUUAAUUUUCAGGCAAGCCAAAACACUGCUGAGCUGUGGAGUCAACAGCAGAAAGUCUUAUGAUUCUCCAUUCUGCAGCACGAAUUUUACCUUUUCUAACAAACUACUAGGGGGAAAAAAAAACACCUUUGGAAGAGAGGAGAUGUAUUUCUAGAACACACCCCCACAUGUGUAGUUCAGUACUAGGGAUGACUGUGCAGCUAUUUUAGCUCCUGUCUCCAUUAAACUGUGAAAUGUAGCAGUGAAAUUAAAAACAUUUAACAUACACGUCUUAGUAGCAGUUUUGUAUUAUGUUGUUGCCAUUUAAACUGAUUAAAACUGUGAGUAAACAAUAUUUUCCAUUGCAACUAAAUAUUGCAAUUAAAGCUAAGUAUUUGCUCUCCUGGCAGGGCAAAACUUAACAUGAACAUAUUGGAAUGUCUCAGUGCAAAAAUAGGUGCUAAGUCAAAAAUACCCUAGCUAACCCUAAAAGAAUGAGUAUCUUUACAGAGCUGUGUUUGUCCUUCACUUUUCAUACAUAGUUUUCAUUAAUCUAAUUAAUACACCAUGAGAUGGAUUUGCCACCAUACUGAGUCCUCUCUGAAGUUUUCCCUUGCAUAGACACCCAUAAAAAUGUACCUACGGGCUAAAAUACCUGGGAGCGCCACAUUGUGUUCCUGUUCCCUGAGUAUGUUUACAGAGGAACUAUGAGUAAUUAUCUUCAUUAUUCACAAUCUACACUGCAUUUUCUAACUACAUUACUGUCUGAGUCUAGUGUUUUCUGUAUUGGAAAUGGCAUCCAUCCAUCUAACUGUGUAUACCAAAACAAACGUAUGAAACAUGUCAUUCUGCUUAGGUUUAUCCAGGUUCAUGCUUUUCUUUCUGCAUUCAUUCCCAGAUGGAGAGCACCGGGUUCUCACACAGUUUGGACCAGUUUUGGCAGCUAAAAGCCCAUGAGUUUGGGUUACUGAACCCCACAGGUGGCCUCCCCUCCAGUCUGUUCCUGCUGCUGGGUUUUGGAAGCAUUUCUGUUACAUGUUUCUGCAGAGCAAACUACAGCAUGAACAGUUACCAUGUUCCUGAGUGUCUAAGUACUCACUUGACUCAGAAACAUACCCUUUACAGGCUGUGUAGGGUUUUCUUCUCUGGGAGUACCAGCAUCUUUUCGUUGUCCUAGCAUCUGCCUGGUUGAAGCUCACUCUCUAAGCUAUGACAGCACAACUCAUAUACUGCACUGCCACCAAUGUCUCCCAUUUCUGGCUAUUGGAAGGCGACAGUGAAACUUGCUUCAGUAAUUUCAUUUUAAUCCCAUGCUGUAGGCCCUCAGCAUCUUUAGAAUCUCUUACUCACCAAAUCUUCUCUCAUAGCAGGAAACAACCAGAGGAAAAAUUCAGGUGAAACUAGUGAGCUGCUUUCCAUUACAGGGAGAGAUUCACAAGUGACUUUUUCUAUCCAGUAUGAAAAAAAGCUGUGGAGAAGCAACUGUGUUGGUUCUUCAUCUUCUCCUUUGAUCCCAAAGUAUGUCAGCAGUCUGUAGUCUUGGCAAGUUUGCUACUUCACGACAGCCAGCUGGUAGGACAUCUCCCAAAUGCUGAAACUGAGAAGUCUAGCCUGAUUCCUUCACAUGCUGUCCUUUAAUUCCUUAAUACAUGUGUUCCUUAAAAUAUCUAUUUGAAAUGUGUGCUAUAUGAAUCAAAUAUGUCAUGUGCAAUGCU